rnacentral:lncRNA from 1 species
GGGUAUUUUCCAUUUAAUUUUAAUGACUUUAUGCUUAAUUGCUUAUCAUAUGUGUUCUGUCUCAAACUACUCUAGGUUGUAUAUUAUAGUCUCAACAGUGACCCACAAAGUCCUUUUACUUAAGGAAAGCUAGGCUGUUGAUAAGUUGUCCUUUGUAGAAAUCAUGAUACUAGUUGACAACUAUGAGUAUGUGAGGAAGUUAUUUUGCAUUUAGGACUGAAAUCAGGUAAAGUGGUUGUGUGGGAGGUAGAGUUUAAGUGUGCUCAUAUUUAACCACAACAGGAAAACCACUAAGACGAAGCAGCAUGAGCAAAGUUCCAGUGCCAAGCAAAGAGUGGCACCGGUCCACGUGGGGUUUUUGGCAUGUGUUCUGUAUAACCCGAGAAAGACAGUCUCUGCCUAUGGUCCUUUGAAAUGUAUACAGUAGCCACUGAACCAGUCCUCUCACAAGCUGCAUCUUAGUCAUCUGUAAUUUCUGUGAUCCAGCUUCCUAUUAACAUUUUGAUUUUUAUUCUUUAAGGCUUACCUUCAACUUGAAUAGCCUUCUGCUGAUGCAGAUUUGUCCUUGCCUGGGACACCUCUUCUAGAAGCCAGGCAGCCUUAUCUUUGGAAAUCUUCUCUGGUUAUUUAUCAACAGUAUUUUCUGAAGUAUAAUUAAUGGAAAAUGCUAGUUCUUCAACAUGUUGAGCAAUGAAGGGUUACAUGGCCAAACACUGGGAACUAGUGGCUUGCAAUCUCUGUCAGUCACUAAGAAAUCCAAGAACAUUGUCAAUGAAAACACCUUUGUAUAACCUGAAAUUAUAAAUAUGUAUUUGUCCACAGUAACAGUUCUUUUCCACCAAGAAGUGCAUGGCCUUUUCUCUUAUGGACCAUAGCUGUUUACUUAGAAAUGUGUAUAUAUUUCAAUUGUAUUCUUAUUCUGCUAACCAGAGAUCUUACUGUAUUAGUCACAUCCAAUGUCAUGAAUUCCUACAUUUGAUUAAAAUUAACACAUUGAAAUAUUUUGCUUAAACUAAGUGUCAUUCUUAUGUUAAAUAACAACAUUAGAGAAUUAACUAAUGGCAUUUAAUAUUCCUUUGGAAAAAAUUCCCAUAAUUAAGAUUAGGAUCUAAAAAGUAAAACAUAUAUUUCUUAGAGUCCUCUUGCUCUUAUUUUAAUUAAAAAAAGACAACAUAAAUUUCAAGAUAAUCACAUUAUUCACUCAGAAUAUGAUGAUCAAACUUCUUCACAAAUGUGUACAGCCCAUUCUUAAAAUUAAUACUAUGCACAGAAUACAAUACAUACUUUGUAAAUAUGAAAAGAUAAAAAUACCAAGAAAGCAUUCGUUUAUUGAAGCCAUACUAAGAGAUGAAUAGCAAAUUAACAUCAUACUCAUAAUAAAACCUAACGCCUUGAUUAUGAGAGAAUUAUGGAACCAAUACCUCAUACUUUUCAGAAAGACAAGCAAUUUUUUGAACUUUUAUGAGUUUAGUAUAACAAUAUAAUAUGGGGAGUUGCUCACAUGGUGCUUAGAGGAAGAUGGGUUUCAUUAGAUGUUUGUUUUUUCAUGAAGGAAAGGUAAUACAUAAUGAAUUGUGCUUACACCUCCUGUCUUUAUGUAGGGGCAGUGCCAGAAGGCAGAAACAGUGGGUGGAUGAAUAAUAAGCCUACAAGCUAAAAUGAACCUCUGGAAAAAAGCUGAUAAAGUAUAUAGAUGAUUAAAAAAAAUAAAAGUUGCAACUGUGUGCUGAACUCUAAAAGGAGGAGGAAACAGAAUCAUUAGCUUAAGGAUGGGAUGGAAAGCCUGGCAAGCAAUGGAAAAGACUCGGAAGUAUGAAGAGAAAGAGUGGUUUCUAUUGUAUGCUAAUAAAUCAGAUAAAUCAGAAUGAGCAUGAAUGUCUCCCUGCAAAAUUAUAAACCAUAAAAUCUCAUGCAAGAUUAAGUAGGAAACAUGAAUAAAUCAAUCCCAGAGAAUAACAUACAAGAAGUCAUUGAAUUAUUACCAAGCAACCAACAAAGCCGAUGGAUAUUUAGCCAUAGUAGAUUAAUAUAAAAGUCCAAGGGCCAGAGCAGUGCUAAUAAUGAUUUUAUACUGUGUACUAUGGUUGAUUAAUUGGCUGUCUCUGCUGCCACCACUCUCUCCUCUCCUUCUGCCUCCUACUCUGGUCCAUUCUCCAGCUGUUCCCCCUUUUCUCUUUCUUCACUCUCUCCCCCUCUUACAUACAUACACACACACACACACACACACACACACACACACACACACACACACCUCUGCAUACAUAAGUUCUAAACCAUUUACUAAUUAUAUAUGGGGCUAUUGGGAUAUUAGUAAAAUCACAUUAUAGCUGAUAAAUAGGUUCAUGAAAGUUCAGCGACUUGCCUUAAUAACAUAGCAAAUAAAUGAAGGAGCUAACAUCUGAGUCCAGAGAUCUGAGAAUAAAAACUUCAGUUUUUUUCCUAUGCCAUAUUUUUCUAUGAGAAAAAAAAUCUUAGAAAUUAUUUUUAGGUAUUUCACUGCUACUAAUGUAUCCAAUUCCUAAUCUAUACUUUGAGAAAAUAUUACAUCAAUAUUAAGAUCAGGAAAAAAAAGAAGAAAGAAACAUAGAAGCUAACCACAUUUCUGGAUUUCUGUCAUUAUUUAUUGACAAUUAUAAAUAAAAAUUAAUAGCACUUAAAAUUUCAUCUGUGCUAGGCAUGGUGGUAAAUGUCAUUUAAUUUUAACACUUGCGAACUAGAAGAGAAAGGAUCACAAAGUCAGGGCCAGUCUGGGCUAUACACUAAGCACCAUGCUAGCCUAGGGUGUGCUGAGACAAAAAUGAAAAUAAAAAGCCACCAGGUAGAAAUUUAACUCAGGAGUACAAGAUGAUAAAAUGAAAAUGAGAAUUGGAAUCACAGUAUAAAAACAUACUCAGAGUACUUUGUGGACAGUUGGAUGUGGCAUUGAACCCAAUACCCAAGGUCCACAUAAAAACUAGUUGUGGCUGUGUAUACCUGUAACUCAAGUGCUGAAGAGAUGAAGACAGAAUAAUCUCUGGAAUUUCCUGGGCAGUUUGUCUAACUGUAUCAGUGAACUCAAUAGCCACUAUCAAAAAAAUAAGGCAGAGGGCUGAGCAGUGGUGGUGCAUACCUUUAAUCCCAGCACUUGGGAAACAGAGGCUGGUGGAUCUCUCUGAGUUUUAGGCCAGUCUGGUCCACAUCGCAAGUUCCAAGACAACCAUGGCUACACAGAGAAACCCUAUUUAGAAAAACCUAAAUUAAUCAAUCAACCAAUCAAUCAAUUAAUAAUAAAAUGUAGAAAGUGGUUGAGAAAGAUACCCAACAUCAAGCCCAGGCCUCUGUACCCAUGUGUACAUGUUUCCACAUGUACAUGUAGAAAAGAGAGGGUCCUCAUAAAAAGUAGGAAGCAUUAAAAUAAACAAUACAGGACUGAGGUGCUAUCAUUGCAAAAUUAAUCUUAGUGACAUGAGUCCUACCUGAUACU